GGCUCAGAUUGAACGCUGGCGGCAGGCUUAACACAUGCAAGUCGAGCGGAGCGAGGGUGCUUGCACCUUAGCUUAGCGGCGGACGGGUGAGUAAUGCUUAGGAAUCUGCCUAUUAGUGGGGGACAACAUUCCGAAAGGGAUGCUAAUACCGCAUACGCCCUACGGGGGAAAGCAGGGGAUCUUCGGACCUUGCGCUAAUAGAUGAGCCUAAGUCGGAUUAGCUAGUUGGUGGGGUAAAGGCCUACCAAGGCGACGAUCUGUAGCGGGUCUGAGAGGAUGAUCCGCCACACUGGGACUGAGACACGGCCCAGACUCCUACGGGAGGCAGCAGUGGGGAAUAUUGGACAAUGGGGGGAACCCUGAUCCAGCCAUGCCGCGUGUGUGAAGAAGGCCUUUUGGUUGUAAAGCACUUUAAGCGAGGAGGAGGCGCUCUAGGAUAAUACCCUAGAUGCGUGGACGUUACUCGCAGAAUAAGCACCGGCUAACUCUGUGCCAGCAGCCGCGGUAAUACAGAGGGUGCGAGCGUUAAUCGGAUUUACUGGGCGUAAAGCGCGCGUAGGUGGCUAAUUAAGUCAAAUGUGAAAUCCCCGAGCUUAACUUGGGAAUUGCAUUCGAUACUGGUUAGCUAGAGUAUGGGAGAGGAUGGUAGAAUUCCAGGUGUAGCGGUGAAAUGCGUAGAGAUCUGGAGGAAUACCGAUGGCGAAGGCAGCCAUCUGGCCUAAUACUGACACUGAGGUGCGAAAGCAUGGGGAGCAAACAGGAUUAGAUACCCUGGUAGUCCAUGCCGUAAACGAUGUCUACUAGCCGUUGGGGCCUUUGAGGCUUUAGUGGCGCAGCUAACGCGAUAAGUAGACCGCCUGGGGAGUACGGUCGCAAGACUAAAACUCAAAUGAAUUGACGGGGGCCCGCACAAGCGGUGGAGCAUGUGGUUUAAUUCGAUGCAACGCGAAGAACCUUACCUGGCCUUGACAUACAGAGAACUUUCCAGAGAUGGAUUGGUGCCUUCGGGAACUCUGAUACAGGUGCUGCAUGGCUGUCGUCAGCUCGUGUCGUGAGAUGUUGGGUUAAGUCCCGCAACGAGCGCAACCCUUUUCCUUACUUGCCAGCAUUUCGGAUGGGAACUUUAAGGAUACUGCCAGUGACAAACUGGAGGAAGGCGGGGACGACGUCNAGUCAUCAUGGCCCUUACGGCCAGGGCUACACACGUGCUACAAUGGUCGGUACAAAGGGUUGCUACACAGCGAUGUGAUGCUAAUCUCAAAAAGCCGAUCGUAGUCCGGAUUGGAGUCUGCGACUCGACUCCAUGAAGUCCGAAUCGCUAGUAAUCGCGGAUCAGAAUGCCGCGGUGAAUACGUUCCCGGGGCCUGUACACACCG
rnacentral:rRNA from 1 species